AACGAAAGCUGGCGGCGUGUUUAAGACAUGCAAGUCGCACGGUGUCAUUUUGGUAGCAAUACUUGAAUGGCAUAGUGGCGCACGGGUGAGUAACACGUGAAUUACAUGCCCUAUAGAGGGGGAUAGCCGAGGGACACUUGGAUUAAUACCCCAGGGUCUCGCAAGAGUAAAGGUGGCCGCAAGGCUGUCGCUAUAGGAUUGGCUCGCGCCCUAUCAGCUUGUUGGCUGGGUAACGGCCCACCAAGGCUACGACGGAUACCUGGUCUGAGAGGACGAUCAGGCACACUGGAACUGAGACACGGUCCAGACACCUACGGGUGGCAGCAGUCGAGAAUAAUUCACAAUGGGGGCAACCCUGAUGGUGCAACGCCGCGUGGAGGAUGACGGUCUUCGGAUUGUAAACUCCUGUCAUCCGGGAGUAAGACCUGGGAGUUAAUAGCUCACAGGGUUGAUAGUACCGGAAGAGGAAGGGACGGCUAACUUCGUGCCAGCAGCCGCAGUAAGAC
rnacentral:rRNA from 1 species